GAUCCUGGCUCAGGAUGAACGCUAGCGAUAGGCUUAACACAUGCAAGUCGAGGGGCAGCAUGGUCUUAGCUUGCUAAGACUGAUGGCGACCGGCGCACGGGUGCGUAACGCGUAUGCAACUUGCCUCACAGAGGGGGAUAACCCGUCGAAAGACGGACUAAUACCGCGUACACUCCAGUUUGGGCAUCCAAGCUAGAGGAAAUGAAUUUCGCUGUGAGAUAGGCAUGCG
rnacentral:rRNA from 1 species